rnacentral:rRNA from 1 species
AUGGAACAAUGGUUCUAGUUGGAGGAAAUUGCCAAAAGCAUUACCUUUACUGCCGAGCCGGAUGCCCUGAUUUGGCAGCUGGGCAAUAAGGGGAAGUAUUCCUCCAGCUCCCUCUAUCAUGUUAUCAACUUUAGAGGGGUUCAACCCGUGUUUAUCCCUGUUGUCUGGAAAUUGAGAGUUCCCCCUAAAAUUCAUGUAUUUCUCUGGCUUCUCUCCAAAAACAAAUUGAUGACUAGGGAUAACCUUAGGAAGAGACACAUCAUCAAACCCCUUGAUUGUGUUUACUGCUUGGAACAAGAUUCUUGUUCUCACCUAUUUUUUGAAUGUAUAGUUGCUAAACAUCUCUGGGCCCACAUUGAGGAAUAUUUCUCUAGUCAGAUUGGCUCAUCCUUCAAAUCUGUCGCCAGAUUCUGGAUUACUACCAAAAGUGCUCAGUUUUAA